CAUUGAACAAUGGAUUGACUGGAUCAACUGAUGAAACAUGGACAUCAUUCAUCUGCUCCUGCUCCUACUGUCAUGCAUAAUUCAAGAGACGGGCAGCGUGAAAGUCGUUUGGGACAACAGGUUGGCUUUAAAGGAUUCCUGGGUGCAGUUUGAAUGCCUAACAGCAGGAUGGUACCCUGCGCCCACUGUGCAAUGGCAGGUGAAAGAAAAAGAGGGGAAAGAGACAAAACACAUCAGCAGCAGUGAAACGACCAAACUCAACAUCAUGGCAACGAAGAGCUCAGAUGUGUCUUGUCUGGCGUCCGUGUCUGCCCUGCUCACGCCACUGAAGAGCUGCGCCCGUCUGACUGUGGUUGUAGAGGUGGGGCGGGAGAAGGAGGAAGAUGUCUGCAGCGAGGUGCCCCUGGCAAUAAUGUCCUCCCUCUCUGCUCUUCUGCUGCUCCUCCUGCUCUGUAUCUGCACCGUCCUCUGGCUCAGACGAAGGAGACAAGCACGAGCCGGCACACAGGAGGUAGUAAGGUCCGACCAAUCGGUGAGCGGGAGGAGUUCGGUUGCUGAGGCGACAGCCGGGAAGGUCAACCUGGGAUAUUCUAGUGACGGCCCCACAGAUGCAGUUCACAAUGAGCUAAUCAUGGAAACCUUUAGGCAGGAGGACUUUGUCAGCUUUCACAAGGUCCCUGAUGUCAUAUCCCCCAGCAACCUGUCUCCACACGGGGACGGACCAGCCCAGCUUUGACCAUGAUUACAAUAUUACCCUCAAGAUAAAAGUUGCAAUAAACCACAACAAACAUUUAAUGUAUUAAGUGCCUCUUUUUCUGUUUUAAAUGCGGAAGCAUCUCAAACUCGAUCGAUGUCGCGGUCAUGGAGCGGUGAUGGUUUUAAGAUACAAUAUAAAUGGGAAAGGGUGAGAUGUAAAUUAAGGCAAUGUGACUGGUGCUGCAAUAAGAACGAGGUGGUGGUGAGGCGCUCUGCAUUAAUGCAUGAAAUAACAGAUUUAUCUCUGUGUGAAGUGGAUGACGCGACAUUUGCAUUUAAUAAUAGUAAAGAAUGGGGGUUGUGGGGGGGGUAGAAUGGUGGAGAUGGAUGUAUAUGGGUCUGCCAGACACUCAAUAGUUUCAGCAGCAUUGCUGUUAUUAAAGCAGUUGGUGUGAAUUAAAAAGGUGACAUGCCUAUUGCUGGUGUCUGGGAUUUUUUUUUUUUACCAAACUGCCGCAGUAAUACCCAUGCGUUUCACAUUUCAGACUGAGCCAGUCCCAUGUGAGUGCAUUAAAUUAUUCCCAACGUAGGGUUAUUAUCAUUGUUUAAUAAUGUCACAAUAUUUAACAAAAACUUUCCUUUUUUCUGUAGGAUGUGGUGUCUUUUUUAGGAUUUCUGUGUGAUUCUUCACCUCCUUCAACAACCGCAAAAUAAAUAGAAAAUCAUACAAUUGGCAGCUUAUCCUUUGUUGGAAGGGAAACACUCUUUCACUUCACUGAAAGCCAAUGCACAUUCUGAUNNNNNNNNNNNNNNNNNNNNNNNNNNNNNNNNNNNNNNNNNNNNNNNNNNNNNNNNNNNNNNNNNNNNNNNNNNNNNNNNNNNNNNNNNNNNNNNNNNNNCCAGAGGCUGACAAAACACAAGCGGGCCUUCUGCUGAAGAAUAAAAACAAGCCAACACAGAAGUAAAAAAAAAGAAUUACUACUACAGUGAUGGAAAGUAGCCUUGAUUUAGAAAACUCGAUGUAAUCCAAAACCAGACCAAAUCAAAACCAAGGCACAAAAAGAAAAAUAUCAAACAAAUCAGCAGGUUGUGGCCUCUUCUAAAAACCAUAAGACAGUUGAGCAUGAUGCUACGUGACACAACACUGUGAGGCGUAUGGGCAGUUAUCAAUGCAGAAGCAACCAGUGGAUUUCUGUCAAACAAAGAGAAAGGUGGACACAGUGUUGACUUUUAAAAGAAAAAAGGUCCCGGCCUAUAUAUCUAUAUUAAAAGCUAAAAAUGGAUCUAGUGUGCUGAAGAAAUAUAUUAUUCUGAGCAACUAUUAGACUCCUCAUGGCAACAAAUUCAAGAAUAUAAUAUAAGAAUUUACAAAGACUAGUGAAAACCAAUUCAACACCCACGUUCUAUUGCAACGAAAGCAAUCACUAUCAGCCAAUCUUUUUUUUCGUUCUAAAUUUAGGUGGUGCGGCUUGUAUUCAAGUGCGCUCUAUAGUUAGGAAAUGAUGGUAAAAGUGCUCUGGGGUGGGAGAGAGGGAAGAUGCAUUUCAUCUACAUAUGACCCGCACUGGCCUGGCUGCAGGGCACACCAACAACCACCAGGAGGAACUCUGUUGUCCUACUGCAGCCAUGACUAAAUGACUCUAUUAUAAUACAUAUUAAUAAUACAAUGUAUUUCACACAACCACGACCACCACAACUAAUAUAACUGCCAAAACUCCUUCUACCUCAUCAUCAAGCACCACCUUCUCUAAAUAACCCCAAAGUCACUGUCUACCACAGCUACGCCUCCACAUGACUCUUUAGUCAAAGCAGCACGCCUGAAGCCUUCGCAGGAGAGGAGAGGGCUGGAGUAGCUCACAUCCAACACUGCAAAACAAAUGUGGAAUUGAAAAAAUACAGCAAUUGCCAUUCUUAUUCCGGACUGAACACACGGCCACUAACACUAC
ensembl:lncRNA